UACAGAGGGUGCGAGCGUUGUCCGGAAUCACUGGGCGUAAAGGGCGCGUAGGUGGUGGCUUAAGCGUGCGGUGAAAGCUCGGAGCUCAACUCCGAGUCGGCCGUGCGAACUGGGCUCACUGGAGCAUAGUAGAGGCAAGUGGAAUUCCGGGUGUAGCGGUGGAAUGCGUAGAGAUCCGGAAGAACACCGGUGGCGAAGGCGGCCUGCUGGGCUAUGGCGUGACACUGAGGCGCGACAGCGUGGGGAGCAAACAGG
rnacentral:rRNA from 1 species